rnacentral:lncRNA from 1 species
CGAAGAGCAGGGGCUGGAACUUCAGCAGUGGGAGCGUGACCUGCACUUCUAGCUUCUGCCUGGAACUCUCACCGUUUCACACAGUGCAGACAGCACUUCCUCCCUGGCAAUGAAGGUGCAAGCUACUACAAAUGGAAGAUAUAUAAGAGGCUGGGAAGCAAAGGACAGAGGAAUGCCUCUCUACAUUUAUUUUUCCACUACCCAACAGGUUUUCAGAGAUGGGGAAAAUGAAGAGCCUGGAUCAUUUCACAAGAGGCCCAGAGAGAAGGGAACCCAGCCUCAUGCCCUCCAACUGGCACCUAGGUUUUCAUAUCCAUGACAACUGGCUACUUUCUCUGAGCACACCAACAAAUCCUCUGCCUUCCUCUUGGCUUUCUUUUUGGCUUCACUUCACAAAGAACAGAAAAAUGUUGCUGGAUUGCAAACUUCAAGAUAAUUCAACAAAUGUCUCUUGAGAAAAUCUCUGUAUAAGAAUUUUUAAAUCAGAGCCAAGUUGCGGGGGGUGGUUAGUGUUUUUCCUGACUCAGCAACUCCACACAUUCCCUCCAAAUGGACAGGCUAGCUGCUGGGCAGAAGAGGAGAAUGGGGGCACAGGUAACCUGUGACAGUUAACCUCUUCAUGGUGUAGUGUGGAAAGCACACCUCUGGGUGUGUCUUGGAGGGUGCUUCCGAAAAGGAUUAAUGAGGAGAGAACCCACUUUGAAUGUGGACGUCCCAACCAAAGCCUGG